rnacentral:rRNA from 1 species
GGACUACCGGGGUAUCUAAUCCUGUUUGCUCCCCACGCUUUCGUGCCUCAGUGUCAGUAUUAGGCCAGGUAGCCGCCUUCGCCACUGGUGUUCCUUCCGAUCUCUACGCAUUUCACCGCUACACCGGAAAUUCCACUACCCUCUCCCAUACUCGAGUUAAGCAGUAUUAUAUGACCUGCCCAGGUUAAGCCCAGGGAUUUCACACAUAACUUACCCAACCACCUACGCACGCUUUACGCCCAGUAAUUCCGAUUAACGCUUGCACCCUCCGUAUUACCGCGGCGGCUGGCAC